rnacentral:lncRNA from 1 species
UGUAAAUUAAAGUAAGUUUUUAUUCAAAGCAACUUUUAAAAUUACAGCAUGUUUAUUCUUAUGCUGUUAACUCUGCCAAACUACAACUUAGCCAUAUGAAGCAUAAAACACUUCAAAAAUUUGAAUGUAAACCACAUUUUUAACACACCUCAAAUUUUAGAUGCCAAUGUAUUUUUCCAAAUAUAUAGCUUAUAUCAAAAAAGGAACAUUUUAAAUAUUUCUAUAGUAAAUAAUUGUAAUAAUUUCUUAAAACUUCCAAUUAUACAAAUAAAAAAUGUUUGUGAAUAUAACUAUUAUAAUUGACAAAAGCUGACAGGAGAAACAAACAAAAACUCUUACUUUUGAAGGCCUUAAAUUUUAUUAUGUGUGAACAGGCAAAUAUUUGUAUUUUUUAAAUUCCUACUGCAUUUCCUUCUUUAGGUAAGUUCAUUAAAUUUCCCAAAACCAAUGAAGCUUUUUAUAGUUCAUUUAAGUCAUAUUUGAGAGGAAAAAUUCUAGAGAAAAAUGUUGAAACCUAAACCAAGAAAAUUCAGAUGCUAUAGUCUGUGCUCAUAAGUGCUCCAAGUUAAAAUUCUAUAUACCAGAUUACAAAAAAAAAAUUCUUAGACCAUUACAAAUAU